rnacentral:lncRNA from 1 species
AUCAAAACAGCGUUUUUUGGCAACUAAUUAAACUUGGUUGAAUGAGCACAUCAAAGAAGCUCAAUGUACUGUGUCGCGAUCGUCCAUAUUAUUUCAAGGUUCCGGUAAUAUAGGAAGACCACGGAAAAAUUUUGACGAAACAUCGUUUAAAACAAAAAAAAACGUAUAGUUGAGGACCUCGUUGAAUCACGCAGUGUGGGGGAGUUGGUAACUGCUUUAGAAGUAGCAGCUCGUGCAGUAGGGAAAAGAAACGUUGUUGAUUCUAUUAGGAGCGUAAGUGAAUACUCAGUAGGUGCUACAUCUUCGAAUUAUAAAAAAUCGAAUAGUUUACAGGAUGGUAGGCAAUUAAGUGGAGAUGAAGCAUUAGCCUAUUACAUAGACUCCAAGUCUACAACGCAUUCAUACAAGCAGACUAGGAAGUGUUUACCAUAAAAUAUGCGUUAAAUAUAGAAAAUCUUUUAAUUUUUUUAUUUAUUCCCCUGACGAACGCCUCUGAUUUAGUCUUUGAUUAAUAAAAAUGAUUUAUUUUAUUAUCAAAUUACUUAACUGGUCGAUAAAAAUGUCAAUAAGAUGAAAAAUAAUUUUGUCCACCUAGCUUGUUAUAAGCGACACACUGUGGGACAGUGACAUUUAUUUUGCCAUAUCAUUUAUAUUAAAUUGGAGAUAAAUUGUUAAAUCCGUGCUAAUACAAACAAGAUUAAUCAUCGUACUUUCGUGAAAGUUUGGGCUCUGGAGGUAUUGCACUACAAGGAAUGCUCUGCUGCGAACUUUAGAAGUUUCAUACAUAGGUACACCCUCUUAUUAGCGUGUCACACAACACUGGAAUAGCAAUAUUACGGUAUUAGCACCGACGCGACGACCGCCCACAGUUUAGUCUCAAAGUUGAAUUUAUCGAAUACCUGAUAAUUGUUGGUGCAUCUAGUUUGUCCAAUAAGCUUAGGAAUGUACGUUAAACACAAGCAAAAUCAAUGGCAUAAUCGGGGUGACGAUUAAAUAGAGCUCUUUGCUAAAGCAAUUAUUUACGAGAGUGGAAUGAAUACAAACAAAACAUUUUUAAAUGCAUAUACAUAGUGGGUCAUGAAAAGGUAAAAAUAUUACCUCUGUUUUCUGAAAUUAAAAAUAUCGUGGAAUUAAACUGAAA